GGCCUGGUGGUGUACUGGUAACACGUCUUUGCCUCCUAAACCAGGAGUGUUGAAAUCAAAGAAGAAAUUCCCUGUUCGAUUCGGGGCCAGGCCA